rnacentral:rRNA from 1 species
AUUGAACGCUGGCGGCAGGCCUAACACAUGCAAGUCGAGCGGGGUUUUCGGACCUAGCGGCGGACGGGUGAGUAAUGCGUAGGAAGCUACCCGAUAGAGGGGGAUAGCAGUUGGAAACGACUGUUAAUACCGCAUAAUGUCUACGGACCAAAGUGUGGGACCUUCGGGCCACAUGCUAUCGGAUGCGCCUACGUGGGAUUAGCUAGUUGGUGAGGUAAUGGCUCACCAAGGCGAAGAUCCCUAGCUGGUUUGAGAGGAUGAUCAGCCACAAUGGAACUUAGACACGGUCCAGACUCCUACGGGAGGCAGCAGUUGGGAAUAGUGGACAAUGGGCGCAAGCCUGAUCCAGCCAUGCCGCGUGUGUGAAGAAGGCCUUCGGGUUGUAAAGCACUUUCAGUAGGGAGGAAGCGUUGUGUGUUAAUAGUACACAGCGUUGACGUUACCUACAGAAGAAGCACCGGCUAACUCUGUGCCAGCCGCCGCAGUAACAC